UACGUAGGGGUCUAGCGUUGUCCGGAAUUAUUGGGCGUAAAGAGCUCGUAGGCGGUUCGGCAAGUCUGAUGUGAAAUCUAUGGGCUCAACUCAUAGUCUGCAGCGGAAACUGCCGGGCUUGAGUGUGGGAGAGGUGAGUGGAAUUCCUGGUGUAGCGGUGAAAUGCGUAGAUAUCAGGAGGAACACCUGUGGCGAAAGCGGCUCACUGGACCAUAACUGACGCUGAUGCACGAAAGCUAGGGGAGCAAACAGG
rnacentral:rRNA from 1 species